CACGUAGGGCGCGAGCGUUGUCCGGAAUUCUUGGGCGUAAAGAGCUCGUAGGCGGCCUGUUGCGUCCGCUGUGAAAGCCCGGGGCUUAACCCCGGGUCGGCAGUGGAUACGGGCAGGCUAGAGGUAGGUAGGGGAGAAUGGAAUUCCCGGUGUAGCGGUGAAAUGCGCAGAUAUCGGGAGGAACACCGGUGGCGAAGGCGGUUCUCUGGGCCUUACCUGACGCUGAGGAGCGAAAGCGUGGGGAGCGAACAGG
rnacentral:rRNA from 1 species